GAUGAACGCUGGCGGCGUGCCUAAUACAUGCAAGUCGAGCGAACAGACGAGGAGCUUGCUCCUCUGACGUUAGCGGCGGACGGGUGAGUAACACGUGGAUAACCUACCUAUAAGAAUGGGAUAACUUCGGGAAACCGGAGCUAAUACCGGAUAAUAUAUUGAACCGCAUGGUUCAAUAGUUGAAGACGGUUUUGCUUUGACUUAAAGAUGGAUCCGCGCCGCAUUAGCUAGUUGGUAAGGUAACGGCUUACCAAGGCAACGAUGCGUAGCCGACCUGAGAGGGUGAUCGGCCACACGGUAACUGAGACACGGGCCAGACUCCUACGGGAGGCAGCAGUAGGGAAUCUUCCGCAAUGCGCGAAAGCCUGACAGAGCAACGCCGCGUGAGUGAUGAAGGUCUUCGGAUCGUAAAACUCUGUUAUUAGGGAAGAACAAAUGUGUAAGUAACUAUGCACGUCUUGACGGUACCUAAUCAGAAAGCCACGGCUAACUCCGUG
rnacentral:rRNA from 1 species